rnacentral:lncRNA from 1 species
GAAAACCGCAUUUUAAGAAAAUGAAGAAAGGGUAGUACUUACGCACACGACGUGGGAGUAUAAAUAACUUCAAGUCAAGGCUGAUACUAUCGACGAAAAGCUCUAGAACGAGCACGACAAAAUCAAAUUUAUUUAUUUCAGAAUUAGCCAGAAAUCACCUGUACCAUCCAAGUUUCCAUAAGAAAACCGCAUUUUAAGAAAAUGAAGAAAGGGUAGUACUUACGCACACGACGUGGGAGUAUAAAUAACUUCAAGUCAAGGCUGAUACUAUCGACGAAAAGCUCUAGAACGAGCACGACAAAAUCAAAUUUGCGACUCCCAAGUUCCAUCAGACCUUUACGUUUGCAACAUGGUUACGUCGUUGCUUGCUUGCUUUGCUUGUGCCCUUUUUGAUUCGUUAAUUCGUUCCGGUUCCUUUGAAAGCUAAUCUGUCUGAAUUCUGCUGCAUUGAAUGCAAAGUCUAGAAGAGGUACGUUGGCAUCACUUAACAGUAACACGCGAGCACCUCUCCAGAGUCACACUGCAUACUCUAGAGUCUAGAGUAACAGUUUUUUUGGCAGCGGCUUUUGUUGGUUCCCUCGUACAUUCAAGAGGAUUUGGUUUUUGUUUAUCUAUUUAUUUAUUUAUUUCAGAAUUAGCCAGAAAUCACCUGUACCAUCCAAGUUUCCAUAAGAAAACCGCAUUUUAAGAAAAUGAAGAAAGGGUAGUACUUACGCACACGACGUGGGAGUAUAAAUAACUUCAAGUCAAGGCUGAUACUAUCGACGAAAAGCUCUAGAACGAGCACGACAAAAUCAAAUUUAUUUAUUUCAGAAUUAGCCAGAAAUCACCUGUACCAUCCAAGUUUCCAUAAGAAAACCGCAUUUUAAGAAAAUGAAGAAAGGGUAGUACUUGCGCACACGACGUGGGAGUAUAAAUAACUUCAAGUCAAGGCUGAUACUAUCGACGAAAAGCUCUAGAACGAGCACGACAAAAUCAAAUUUGCGACUCCCAAGUUCCAUCAGACCUUUACGUUUGCAACAUGGUUACGUCGUUGCUUGCUUGCUUUGCUUGUGCCCUUUUUGAUUCGUUAAUUCGUUCCGGUUCCUUUGAAAGCUAAUCUGUCUGAAUUCUGCUGCAUUGAAUGCAAAGUCUAGAAGAGGUACGUUGGCAUCACUUAACAGUAACACGCGAGCACCUCUCCAGAGUCACACUGCAUACUCUAGAGUCUAGAGUAACAGUUUUUUUGGCAGCGGCUUUUGUUGGUUCCCUC